GAUGAACGCUAGCGGCAGGCCUAACACAUGCAAGUCGAGGGGUAGCAGGAUUAAGCUUGCUUAUUUGCUGACGACCGGCGCACGGGUGCGUAACGCGUAUGCAACCUACCUUAUACUGGGGUAUAGCCCGGAGAAAUUCGGAUUAAUCCCCCAUAGUACUAAUGAAUCGCAUAGUUUAUUAGUUAAAGCAUUGCGGUAUAAGAUGGGCAUGCGUCCUAUUAGCUAGAUGGUGAGGUAACGGCUCACCAUGGCUACGAUAGGUAGGGGGCCUGAGAGGGUGGUCCCCCACACUGGUACUGAGACACGGACCAGACUCCUACGGGAGGCAGCAGUGAGGAAUAUUGGUCAAUGGGCGCAAGCCUGAACCAGCCAUGCCGCGUGCAGGAAGAAUGCCCUAUGGGUUGUAAACUGCUUUUAUUUGGGAAUAAACCUCUUUACGUGUAGAGAGCUGAAGGUACCAAAUGAAUAAGCACCGGCUAACUCCGUGCCAGCAGCCGCGGUAA
rnacentral:rRNA from 1 species